rnacentral:rRNA from 1 species
ACCAGUACCGUGAGGGAAAGGUGAAAAGAACCCCUGUCAGGGGAGUGAAAGAGAAUCUGAAACCUGGUGCUUACAAGCUGUGGGAGCCGUACUUGUACGGUGACCAUGUGCCUUUUGCAUAAUGAGUCAGCGAGUUAAUCUGUACAGCAAGGUUAAGCGUAAGUGAAGCCGCAGCGAAAGCGAGUCCGAACAGGGCCACAGUUGUGCGGAUUAGACCCGAAACCGGGUGAUCUAUCCAUGAGCAGGUUGAAGCAAGGGUAAAGCCUUGUGGAGGACCGAACCAGUUCUGGCUGAAAACAGUUUGGAUGACUUGUGGAUAGGGGUGAAAGGCCAAUCAAACCCGGUGAUAGCUGGUUCUCCCCGAAAUAUAUUGAGGUAUAGCCUUGCGGAUUGUCUUAUGGAGGUAAAGCUCUGACAGAACUAGGGGUCCUAUCCGACUACCGAAUUCUUUCAAACUCUGAAUACCAUUAAGAUUUACCGCAGGAGUCAGACGGCGGGUGCUAAGGUUCGUCGUCAAAAGGGCAACAGCCCAGACCGACAGCUAAGGCCUCCAAAUGCAUGCUCAGUGGUUAAGGUGGUGGCGUUGUGUAGACACCCAGGACGUUGGCUUAGAAGCAGCCAUCGUUUAAAGAAAGCGUAAUAGCUCACUGGUUCAAUGGCGCUGCGCCGAAAAUGUAACGGGGCUAAGCAUGCUGCCGAAGCUUCGGAUUUGUCUCUGACAACUGGUAGGGGAGCGUUCUCUGCGGGCUGAAGCGGAACCGAAAGGUUUCGUGGACUGCAGAGAAGUGAUUAUGCUGACAUGAGUAACGAUAAAAUAUGUGAAAAACAUAUUCGCCGUAAAUCCAAGGUUUCCUGGGUAAAGGUAAUCUUCCCAGGGUUAGUCGGACCCUAAGGCCAGGCUGAAAGGCGUAGCUGAUGGGAAACGGGUUAAUAAUCCUGUACUUGUGCGAUUGUGCGAAGAAGGGACGCAGGAUGGUAGACAGGCCGGUUUUUGGAAUCCGGUGCAAGUGCGUAGGCGUGCUCCGCAGGCAAAUCCGCGGAGAUGAGCCGAGACACGAGUCCGUGGGCGUAAGCCCUGAAGCUGUUGAGCCACGGCUGCCAAGAAAAGCUUCUAAGUUUAGAUCGCGCGAACCGUACCGCAAACCAACUCAGGUGGAUGGGAUGAAUAAUCCAAGGCGCUCGAGAGAACUCUGGCCAAGGAACUCGGCAAAUUGACCCCGUACCUUCGGAAUAAGGGGUGCUCCCCACGGUGAGACAAAUUCUUGUUCAGCCCCGGGGAGCCGCAGAGAAAUGGUGGUGGCGACUGUUUACUAAAAACAUAGGUCUGUGCGAAGUCCUACAGACGACGUAUACGGACUGACGCCUGCCCGGUGCCGGAAGGUUAAAAGGAGGAGUCAGCGCAAGCGAAGCUCCGAUUUGAAGCCCCGGUAAACGGCGGCCGUAACUAUAACGGUCCUAAGGUAGCGAAAUUCCUUGUCGGGCAAGUUCCGACCUGCACGAAUGGCGUAACGAUCUCCACGCUGUCUCGGCCAGAGACUCGGUGAAAUUGAAGUCGCGGUGAAAAUGCCGUGUACCCGCAGAAAGACGGAAAGACCCUGUGCACCUUUACUAUAGCUUGACAUUGGGUUUUGAACCUGCAUGUGUAGGAUAGGUGGGAGGCUGUGAAAGCUGUACGCCAGUAUGGCCGGAGCCACCCGUGAAAUACCACCCUUGUUUGUUCAGGACCCUAACUCGCAGCUGUAAUCCAGCGCGAAGACAGUGUCUGGUGGGUAGUUUGACUGGGGCGGUCGCCUC